rnacentral:tRNA from 1 species
GCCCCGGUGGCUCAGCCUGGUAGACAAUCCAAACCCGGCCAAGAGCGUUGCCUUGGUAAGGCAAAGGUCACGAGUUCAAAUCUCGUCCGGGGCUCCA